rnacentral:rRNA from 1 species
AUUGAACGCUGGCGGCAUGCCUUACACAUGCAAGUCGAACGGUAACGGGCCUUCGGUUGCCGUCGAGCGGCGAACGGGUGCGUAAUACAUCGGAACGUGCCCGAUCGUGGGGGAUAACGAGGCGAUAGCUUUGCUAAUACCGCAUACGAUCUACGGAUGAAAGCCGGGGACCGCAAUGCUUUGCGCGGACGGAGCGGCCGCUGGCAGAUUAGGUAGUUGGUGGGAUAAAAGCUUACCAAGCCGACGAUCUGUAGCUGGUCUGAGAGGAUGAUCAGCCACACUGGAACUGAGACACGGUCCAGACUCCUACGGGAGGCAGCAGUGGGGAAUUUUGGACAAUGGGCGCAAGCCUGAUCCAGCCAUGCCGCGUGCAGGAUGAAGGCCUUCGGGUUGUAAACUGCUUUUGUACGGAACGAAAAGCCUUCUUUUAAUACAGGAGGGUCAUGACGGUACCGUAUGAAUAAGCACCGGCUAACUACGUG